rnacentral:lncRNA from 1 species
GAAAAAGAGAUAGAAGUGGCCUGGCUUUGAAACAUGGUGCUAUCCCCUAGCAAGCAGAGGAGGAGCUGUCAGACAGAAAUGGUACCUUUCCCCAGAGUCUAUGUUGAGAUGCACCAGCCUUUCCAGUCCUGAGAAACAACAAAGUCAUUGCUCCAGGGCAGGUGGGCAGGCCUGUGUCCCAGGAGGCACUGUUCUUCCUGGCCAGAGACCCAUGCCCACUUCAGAGGAGCCAUGAAGGAGAAACCCCAGGCCACAGUGAAGGAUUGUGAUCAAGGAACAAUUGAAGACCUGCUGCAGGAAAUUGGAGCUGCCAAUCUCCUAACAAUUGGAAUUUUUUUUAUACUACGCAUUUCACGAUCGUUUGAGAUGGCAGAAGGACUGAAGACCUGGGGAGGAGAGAGGAGGAAACUGGAGGACUGUGAACAUGGCCACAUCUUCUCCAUGGAGAGAAAACUCCAUCGGAUCUGGGCACUCCCUACAUUUCUCCACCUCCUGCCGCCCCCAUGAGUCUCUGCAGGGAGAUUUUUCUGAAUAAUGGAACAUUUUCCUGUUUUAAUCAGAUGCAAUUUUGCAAGCAGUUUUUAUGAUUUAGCAAGUCCAUUAAAACUGGCAUUUGUUCUGCUCUGACACUCGAAAGGGGCUCCACAGAGCAUAAACAUUGGAAAUUACUUGUAGGGAGAGACAAUAUUAAAAUUCCCCAGCCUGGGCCUGUUGUCUGAGAAAUUCUGUUAUCAAGCAUCGUGCCAGCUACGAUCAGAGGCGCUUGAGAUAUAUGCUGCUUCCUCUUUACGCACUAGCUGGGGGCUCGGGAAACUCAGGCAGCAAUAAAGUCGCAAGGCUGUUAUCUCUCAGCACUGUUUUGGCAUCAGGAGGUGAAUGGGUCUUAAAGAGAACUCACUGGAAGAGCAGGUCACAAAGUGCAAAAUCUCAAGGAAGAGGGUGGGUAAGCACAUCUUUAAGGACAAGCCUGGAAAUUUCUUUCCUGCCCACGGUGAAUGAUAGGGUUUAUUAGCACAUAAUUAAGAAGGUCUGUUUUGUCACUUUCACUUGUAGUCAAUUCUCAAUUAUCCAUAUACUAACAGAUGACCAGGGUCAAAUGAAAAUUCUCCUUUUGCCCUCUUUCUGCUUCCCUACAGGAACUCCCUCUCCAUAGAACCAAAGUAGAGUAGCAGCAAGAGAGGCUUUGGGGAGCAUCUCCACUCUCCCAAUCAAUGCAGAAGCCAUAGAAGAAAUCACAAAAGAUAGAACCUGGCAGUUCAAC